AGAGUUGAUCGAUGGACUCGAGGACGAACGCUGGCGGCGUGCUAACACAUGCAAGUCGAGCGAGGUCCAACCAGUGGCAACACUGGGGAAGACCUAGCGGCGAACGGGUGAGUAACACGUGAGAAACCUGCCCGAAGUCUGGGAUAACCCGAGGGAAACUCGAGCUAAUACUGGAUACCUCCUCCAGAUCGCAUGGUCUGGAGAAGAAAGAAUUUUGCUUCGGGAGGGUCUCGCGGCCUAUCAGCUUGUUGGCGGGGUAACGGCCCACCAAGGCGUCGACGGGUAGCUGGUCUGAGAGGACGAUCAGCCACACUGGGACUGAGACACGGCCCAGACUCCUACGGGAGGCAGCAGUGGGGAAUAUUGCGCAAUGGGCGAAAGCCCUGACGCAGCAACGCCGCGUGCGGGAUGAAGGCCUUCGGGUUGUAAACCGCUUUCAGUGGGGACGAAAUUGACGGUACCCACAGAAGAAGCCCCGGCCAACUACGUGCCAGCAGCGGC
rnacentral:rRNA from 1 species